GACCUGGUGGUAGAGUUGGAACCAUGUUUGCUUUCUGUGGUGGAGAUUCGGGAAGUAUAAGUAAAAGACCCUCGUUCGAUUCGGGGCCAGGUCG